GAUGAAGAACGUAGCGAAAUGCGAUAAGUAAUGUGAAUUGCAGAAUUCAGUGAAUCAUCGAAUCUUUGAACGCACAUUGCGCCCGCCAGUAUUCUGGCGGGCAUGCCUGUUCGAGCGUCAUUUCAACCAUCAAGCCCCCGGCUUGUGUUGGGGACCUGCGGCUGCCGCAGGCCCUGAAAACCAGUGGCGGGCUCGCUAGUCACUCCGAGCGUAGUAACACAUCUCGCUCAGGGCGUGCUGCGGGUUCCGGCCGUUAAAAAGCCUUAUUUACCCAAGGUUGACCUCGGAUCAGGUAGGAAGACCCGCUGAACUUAAGCAUAUCAAUAAGCGGAGGA
rnacentral:misc_RNA from 1 species